rnacentral:lncRNA from 1 species
CUAUUUGCAUGCACACCAACACACAUACUGUAUGAAGUGCUUGUUAAUUAUACAUAUGAGAAGUCAGUCUAGCCUUAGGUGAACCAUCACCUAGUUGAACCCCUCAGUUACUGUUACAUAUUCAUUUAUGACAUGAUACAUGUAGCAAUGUAAUAUAGCAUUAUCUAAAAACCACAUUUUACAUGUACUGGAUUUGAUUGUUGUUAAUCCUUGCUUCUAAAUUAGAGUUGGGUGUAGGCCUACUGCACAGGAACGUGGCAGCCGCCUAUAGGAUUAGUAGAAUUGAUAAGCUAUAUAGGUCGACUAUAACCUAAACGCAUAUUAUGCAGAAAUGGGAAUCUAUUGCAAUGAAUCGCAGAAUGAGUGAUCCGGUCGCACUCUCUCCCACUGUAGGCUAUAAUGACUGACGAAGGUAACGAGAGGACUUGUGAUGCUGCACCCACUGAGCAGAUGUUGCCACGAGAGACUAUAGUGCUGCAACAAGAGACAAGACACGUCUUGGAUCACAAAUAGGAUCCGUGCGCAUGCUCCGUCUGUUCCGUUUACUGUAUAUUCACUGUGGUAAAAGGGCAGGCAGGCAACAAACCAAGCUUUUUACAGCAAAGUGGCUUCUACAAUGUAAAUACGCUUCAGGGAAACCAAAAGGGAUAUCAACAGCGGGUUCUUGGAAAUUCUUCUGCCUAAUGGACGUGCGGAUUCGCUACACUGUAAUGUUCAAUCCAACAGUGAACGGUAUUUUUAGGUGUGAUGAGACAAAAGAACAAAGGAUGCCGUAGAAGAGAGGCUGCUUACAAGCCGGGAAUCUGCUUCAAAGCACAACAAAUGGAUCUAUCGCCUCCCCCUGCCGCCUCUAGAUAAUGAUACUUG